rfam:Dipodomys ordii contig_1695, whole genome shotgun sequence.
GGGAAUGUGGCUUAGUGGUAAAGUACUUGCCUAGCAUGCAUGAAGCCCCGGGUUUAAUUCCUCAGUACCA